AGCGAACGCUGGCGGCAGGCCUAACACAUGCAAGUCGAACGAACUCUUCGGAGUUAGUGGCGGACGGGUGAGUAACACGUGGGAACGUGCCUUUAGGUUCGGAAUAACUCAGGGAAACUUGUGCUAAUACCGAAUGUGCCCUUCGGGGGAAAGAUUUAUCGCCUUUAGAGCGGCCCGCGUCUGAUUAGCUAGUUGGUGAGGUAACGGCUCACCAAGGCGACGAUCAGUAGCUGGUCUGAGAGGAUGACCAGCCACACUGGGACUGAGACACGGCCCAGACUCCUACGGGAGGCAGCAGUGGGGAAUCUUGCGCAAUGGGCGAAAGCCUGACGCAGCCAUGCCGCGUGAAUGAUGAAGGUCUUAGGAUUGUAAAAUUCUUUCACCGGGGACGAUAAUGACAGUACCCGGAGAAGAAGCCCCGGCUAACUUCGUGACAGCCGCCGCGGUAAAAC
rnacentral:rRNA from 1 species